GAAGGCGCGAUGUGAGCUCCGGUGGGAACAGCAGCCCUUUGUCUCGUAACGGUGCCGUCCAGACUGGCCAUGAGACCAGCGAGUUUGCUGUAGAAACAGCCAUUUGGGAGUGGCUGCGUCACGCUUCUGCCAGGCACAGAACUGCCAUUGCCAAGGACUGUGCCACUGAACAGCCCGGAUAUGUGUGACAUGGUUCCCUCGGCCUGUUGUACCUUUACCUAUCACCCGCGGCAUCUAGCUGCCAGUGUGAUCUUGCUUUCUUCAGGGCUGUGCCACUGAACAGCCCGGACACGUCUGACAUGGUCUCCUAGGCCUGCUGUACUUUCACCCAUCACCCGUGGCGUCUAGAUCCAGUGUGCCGAGUUGUCCAAUACUGCCAAGUGCUUUAUGAUGUCACCAAUGUGCCAAAUGCUCUAGUACUGUUAUGUGCUCCGCCACUCUGCCAUGCCCUCUCCACAUCUCCAGUAUAUAAAGUGUCCCAUGGCGUCUGCAUUUGCGAACUGCAUUACCAAGUCUCCAAGUGCUCCAGUACUGUGUUAUAUGCUCCGCUGCUGUGCCGAGUGCUCUCCGUUUAUGCAGUAUACCGAGUGCCCAUUGCGUCUCCGCAUUUUACCAAGUGCUCCGAUAUUGUCAAAUGCUUGACCACGUCUGGAAUGUGCCAUGUGCUCCACUGCUGUGCCAAGUGUAUACUUUGUAAAUGAUAUACAUGUCUUAAGUUCAUCCAAUACCUCUAUUGCAUAACUUAUCCAUACAGUUGGUCUUCACAUAGACUUCUAUGUCAUUAUGUACACAUAUUGUAGAGUUGUGUUACUGUUUCUGUAGAGUAGAUGUUGUCAACAUGUUUUUUUUUCUUCAUAGAAGGCUACAGCGCGGAACCAACAAAGACAAGGAACACAGACACAGUGCUGACUUUCAACAAGAAUCAGCUUUCUGAAAGUCAGUGCUGUGUCUCUUCUUUGUGUGCCUCUCCUGUCUUCGUCGGUUUCGUGCCAUGGCCUUCUACGAUGUUCAACCAACAAGCCCAACUGGUUACUCUGCUCAAAUGUAUUUUCUACCACUGUUGGCACCUUUGUGCUGUUUCCUAUAUCAAGUGCCCAGCUUGCUGCUGCCAUUGAUGUCAUCAUUGCCAAAACAGCUUUCAUAAAUAACAGCAUAAAUUUGGACAGCACAAUAUUAUUUUUAAAUUUUCAUUUCAUUCUUAUAAAGAAGAUUGUACUUAUUUGUUUAUUUCUACUCACAUUCAACAGAUAUCACAAGGACCAUGGAUUGCGUUUAUUGUUUUACUCCCAGAAGAUGUGUGCAUCACUCCUGGAAGUUUGUAGUUUGUGUAUUUCUAGUCAGGUUUUGUGGAUUUUGCUUCGACCAACUUUCUAGUCACAUUUCGCAGAUUUUACUUGCACAUCUAUUGAUUUUAUUGUUUUACUUGCACAUCAUUUGUCUGCAUUUUGACAAGGUCACAAAUAUAUCUGAGAAAAUAUUGAGCUUUAUGCUGCCAGAUGUAAGAGUUGCGUGUUCAAAGAAACUCUUGUUAAAGUUCACGCUAUUCCUCGCUUCGACAUUUCAGGUCUUUCUGUUCAUCUCAGUAUUUUUUUAUGCAAUAUUGUCUUAGCAGCGUUUUGUGUAUGGUAUAACAAGGAUUCCUCAGCGAGUGCUUGUGGUAAACUUUGCAAGGGCAUGAUUUAGGGAUUUAUUGCUCUGGUUUAGUUCUAUAUUUUCUAAGCA
rnacentral:lncRNA from 1 species